rnacentral:lncRNA from 15 species
UCCAGCUCCAACCACUGCAACUCCAGAUCCCACUACCACAACUCUAGGUCCAACCACCACAACCCCAGCUCCAACCACCACAACCCCAGGUACCACAACUCCAGGUCUAACCACCACAACCCCAGGUACCACAACUCCAGGUCUAACCACACCAACUCCAGCACCAACUACUGCAAUUCCAGCUCCAACCACCACAACUACAGCUACUACAAGUCCAGGUCUAGCCACAACAACAAUGGCUCCAACCGCCACAACUCCAGCUCCAACCACUACAACUCAGAGUCCAACCACCACAACUGCAGCCACCACAAAUAAAACUCUAUCCACUACAACUCCAACUCAAACUAAUAUAACUCCAGCUCCACCUACUACAACUCCAGCUCAAACCACAACAAAGGCAGCAACCACAACUCCGACUCAACCUACUACAACUCCAGCUCCAACUACCACAACUGCAACCACAAAGACUCCUGCUCCAACUACUGCAACUCCAGCUCGAACCACCACAACCCCAUCUCCAACCACCACAAAUGCAACCACCACAACCCUGCCUCCAACUACCAAAACGGCAACCACAACUGCAACCACAACAUCUCCUGCUCCAACUAUUACAAUUCCAGCUCCAACUAUCAGAACUGCAUCCACCAGAACUCCGGCUCUAACCACUACAACUACAGAUCCAACUUCCACAACUCUAGCUCCAACCACUAUAACUCCGGGUCCAACCACCCCAAGUCAAGGUCCAUCCACAACAACUCCAGGUCUAACCACAACUACACCGGUUCCGAACACCACAAGUCCAGCUUUGACCACUACAACUCCAGCUCCAACAACCACAACCCCAUCUCCAACCACCACAACUGCAGCUAAAACAACUCGGGCUCCAACCACUGCAACUCCAGAUCCCACUACCACAACUCUAGCUCCAACCACCACAACCCCAGAUCCAACCACCACAAGUCUGGGUCAGACCACAACAACUCCUGCUCCAUCAACUACAACUCUGACUCAAUCUAUUAUAACUCCAGCCCCAACUACUGCCAUUCCAUCUCUAACCACAACAACCGCAACUCCAGCUUCAACCACUGCAACUCCAGAUCCCACUACCAAAACUCCAGCUCCAACCACCACAACUGCAGCUACCACAACUCUGGCUCCAACCACCACAAGUCUGGGUCAGACCACAACAACUCCUGCUCCAACCACUACAACUCUCACUAAAUCUAUUAUAACUCCAGCUCCAACUACUACCAUUCCAUCUCCAACCAACACAACUGACACUCAAGCUUCAACCACUGCAACUCCAGAUCCCACUACCACAACUCUAGCUCCAACCACCACAACCCCAGCUCCAACCACCACAACCCCAGCUGCCACAACUCCAGGUCUAACCACAACAACUCCAGCACCAAGUACUGCAACUCCAGCUCCAACCACAACAACGGCAGCAACCACACCUUCAGCUCCAACUACCACAACUGCAACCACAAAGACUCCUGCUACAACUAUUACAACUCCAGCUCCAACCACCACAACCCCAUCUCCAACCACCACAACUCCGGCUCCAACUACCACAACUGCAACCCCAAAGACUCCUGCUCCAACUACUACAACUCCAGCUCCAACCACCACAACCCCAGCUCCAACCACCACAACUGUAACCACUACAACUCCGGCUCCAAAUACUACAACUCCAGCUCCAGCUACCAAGACUGCAACCACAACAUCUCCUGCUCCAACAAUUACAACUCUGGCUCCAAACAACACAAGUCUGGGUCAGACCACAACAACUCCUGCUCCAACAAUUACAACUCUUAAUCAAUCUAUUAUAACUCCAGCUCCAACUGCUACCAUUCUAUCUCCAACCACCACAACCCCAGCUCCAACCACCACAACUCCAGCUCCAACUACUACAACUCCGACUCCAACCACCACAAUUGCAGCCAUCACAAAUAAAACUCUAUCCACUAUAACUCCAACUCAAACUACUAUAACUCUGGUUCCAACUACUACAACUCCAGCUCCAACCACAACGGGAGCAACCACGACCACAACUCCGGCUCCAACCAAUACAAGUCCAGAUCCAACUACCACAACUCAGGCUCCAAACAACACAACUGAAAUAACCACAACAGUGAGUCCAACAAACCCAACUCCGGGUCCAACCACUACAACUCCAGCUCCAACUGCUACAACUCCAGAUCCAACUACCAAUGCUCUGGCUCCAACCACUACCACUUCAGGUCAAACCACCACAACUGCAGCUAACACAACUCCGGGUCCAACAACUGUAACUCCAGAUCCCACUACCACAACUCUAGCUCCAACCACCACAACCCCAGCUCUGACCACCACAACUGCAGCUACAGCUACUCCAGGUCUAACCACAAGAACUCCAGCUCCAACUACUACCAUUCCACCUUCAACCACUAGAACUGCAGCCUCCAUAAGUCCAGGUAUAUCCACAACAACUCUGGGUCUAACCUCAACAACGCCCGCUCCAGCAACAACAACUCCGCCUUCCACCACUAAGACUGCAGCCACCACAAUUGCAACCACCACAACUCCAGCUCCAACCACCACAACUCCUGCUCCAACCACUACAACACUCACUCAAUCUAUUAUAACUCCGGCUCUAACUGCUACCAUUACAUAUCCAACCACCACAACUGCAGCCACUACAACUCCCGCUUCAACCACUGCAAAUCCAGAUCCCACUACCAAAACUCUAGCUCCAACCACGACAACUCCAGCUCCAACUACCACAACUGCAGCUACCACAACAAACGGUCCAACCACCACAACUCUGACUCCAACCACCACAAGUUUACCUCCAACCACCACAACUCCAGCUCCAACCACCACAACUGCAGCUACCACAACAAACGGUCUAAGGACUACAUCUCUGGCUCCAACUACUACAACUCCAGAUCCAACCACCACAUCUCCUGCUCCAACCACCACAAGUCUGGGUCAGACCAAAACAACGCCGUCUCCAACCACCACAACUGGAGCUCCAACCACUACAACUCCGGCUCCAACUACUACAACUCCAGCUCCAACUACCACAACUGCAUCCACGAGAACUCCGGCUCCAACCACUGCAACUACAGAUCCAACUACUAUAACUCCUGCUCCAACCACCACAACUCGGGCUUCAACCACAACGAGGCUGGCUCCAACUACUACAACUCCAGCUCCAACUACCACAACUGCAGCCACAACAACUCCAGUUCCAUCUACUAUAACUCCAGCUAAAACUACUAUAACUCCUGGUCCAACCACAAAAACUCCAGCUCCAACCACCAAAACUACAACCAACAUAACUCCGGUUCAGACCACAACAACGCCGGCUCCAACCAACACACCUGGAACUCAAACCACGACAACUCUAGCUCCAAUCACCACAACUACAGAAACAACAACUCCAGGUGCAACAACCCCAACCCCAGGUCCAAUGACUACAACUCCAGUUCCAACUACUACAACUCCAGCUGCAACCACCACGACUGCAGCCACCACAAGUGCAGCUCCAACCACCACGAAUCAAGUUGCAACCACAACAUCUCCAGCUCCAACUACCACAACUGCAGCCACCACAACUCCGGCUCCAACAACCACAACUCUGGCUCCAACCAACACAACUGUAGCCACAACAACUCCGGCUCCAACCACCACAACUGCAGCCAAAACAAGUCCAGCUCCAACCACUACAACUCCAUAUCCAACUACCACAACUCUGGCUCCAACCAACACAACUGCAGCCACCGUAACUCCCGCUACAACCACCACAAGCCCACCUCCAACCACCACAACUGCAGCUACCACAACUCCUGGUCUAACCACAACAACACUUGCUCCAACCACCACAACUGCAGCCACCACAACUCCAGCUCCAACCACCACAACUCCAACUCAAACCACUACAACUCCUGCUCCAACCACCACAACUGCAGCCACCACAAGUCCAGCUCCAACCACCACAAAUCAAGUUGCAACCAGAACAAUUCCAGCUCCAACUACCACAACUCUGGCUCCAACCAACACAACUGUAGCCACAACAACUCCGGCUCCAACCACCACAACUCUACCUCCAACCACCACAACUUCAGCCACCACAACUCCGUUUGCAACAACCCCAAAUCCAACUCCAACCACUAAAUCUCCGGCGCCAACUACUAUAACUUCAGCUCCAACUGCAACCACAACAACUCCUGCUCCAACUACUACAACUCCAUCUGCAACAAACACAACUGCAGCCACUACAACUCCAGCUUCAACCACUGCAAAACCAGAUCCCACUACCAAAGCUCUAGCUCCAACCACAACAACUCCAGCUACAACUACCACAACUGCAACCACCACAACUCCGGCUCCAACCACCACAACUCUUACUCCAACCACCACAAUUCUAGCUCCAACCACCACAACUGCAACCACCACAACUCCGGGUCCAACAACCCCAACUCCGGGUCCAACGAGUACAACUCCAGCUCCAACCAGCACAACUGCAGCAACCACAAGUCCGGGUGCAACAACCCCAACCCCGGGUCCAAUAACUACAACUCCAGUUCCAACUACUAUAACUCCAGCUCCAACCACCAAAACUGCAGUCACCACAAGUCCAGCUCCAACCACCACGAAUCAAGUUGGAACCACAACAACUCCAGCUCCAACUACCACAACUGCAGACACCACAACUCCCGGGCUCCAACUACCACAACUGUGGCUCACCAACACAACUGUAGCCACAACAACUCCGGCUACAACCACCACAACUGCAGCCAAAACAAGUCCAGCUCCAACCAAUACAACUCCAUAUCCAACUACCACAACUCUGGUUAUAACUCCGGCUCAAACUACUACCAUUCCAUCUCCAACCACCACAACUCCGGCUCCAACCACCACAACUCUGACUCCAACCACCACAAUUCUAGCUCCAACCACCACAACUGCAACCACCACAACUCCGGGUCCAACAACCCCAACUCCGGGUCCAACGACUACAACUCUGGCUCCAACUACUACAACUCCAGCUCCAACCAGCACAACUGUAGCAACCACAAGUCCGGCUCCAACCACUACAUCUCCAGAUCCAACCACUACAACUCCUGCUCCAACCACCACAACUCCAGCUCAAACCAUCACAAUUUCAGUCACCACAACUCCGGCUCUGACCACUACAACUCCGGCUACAACCGCAACAACUGCAGCCACCCCAACUCCUUCUUUUACCACUACAACCCUGGGUCCAACCACAACAACUCUGGCUCCACCAACCACAUCUGCAGCCACCAAAACUCUGGCUCCAACUACCACAACUGCCGCCACCACAACUCUCACUCCAACAACCAAUACUUCAGCCAGCAUAUCUUCAAUCAGUUCAUCCCAAGGCUUGAAAUCAUUGGCACAUCUACAGAUGAAGAUAACCUCUAUUGGAGAUGUCAGCAAUGGAACCAUCACUGAACGUGUUAAACAGUUUUUUGACCAUCUUCUGAAUGGAACAGCCCACACAGUAACAGUGACAAAGAUCCGGAGGGUUAGAGUUGCCCCAUAGAUACUUCAUGUGGACAGAAAUAGUCCAAAGUGAAUGUAUAAAGACAGCAAUUGAAGGUUGCGGUGGUAUUGUUUCAGCACAAUGUAAAGGGGCAGUUCACCUCAACCGUUUCAUCAUUUCUGAAAAGAGAUCUUUCCUUUGAGUUUUCAACAGCUUGAUCACAACUCCUCAAAUGUCAUUGUAUUAAGACCCAUUACCGCUCUCUAUAAUCCCCAAACAGUAUUGUCAUUACUACGCUGUUGGCUGUUUUACAGGAAUGUGAAUAGUGGCAAUGUGUAUGUGGCUCAAGUGUCAAAUGAUUUGCAUGGCACAAUGGGAAGCUCAAACGAAGUAGUCUGACCUGUCAAAGAGGUUUUUAAGUGGUGUCAAUAAUUCCCAUGCUCUGUAAGUGGAGGAGCAGCCAUAUUGACGAGCCUGGUAUCCAGGAAACUAGUUAACUAUGUUUCUCUCUCACCCACUCCCUUUUAUUAUAUACCAAUAAGGAACUGUUUCACACAAACCAUUGGCAACGAUUAACCUUAGUAAGUGCCUCAUACAAGGUGUAUAACGUUUGUGAUUGUACCCCGAAUCAGGGAAAUUAAAUCUUUCAAGUAUUAGGGACAAAAAGCACAGUAAUAUCUACUGAACGUGUGUUAUCUAGUGCCAUCAAGGAUUGAUUUAUUAAGCUUAGAAUGUGGCUUUCUAAUUGAUUGAAAAACCAGAGCUCUGCAUAUUUGUUUUAAUGUACUGUGAACAACACCAAUGUAUAUUUCAGUCCAGAGAAGGAAGUCUAAGACAUUCUGUGUGCAGGUUAAUUGGGCUUGAGAUGUAUAUUAAUGAUUAUGUGUGUAUGUUUGUGUGGUUUUGGCUAUUUGCACUAUUUAAGCAGGAUAAGAUAUUUGUCCCAGUCGGUUUAUUCUAUUGCUGCAAGACAGUAUAGCCUAUGUGUUUUUAUUAUUUUUACACCUGCAAAUGGGAUAUGUAGGCAUAUUUUCUUCCAACAUCACUGAUAUUAAUAUUUUUCCAAAUGAUUAUGUUUGUACUAAAAUUAUUUAUUUUAUCCGACUCGCUAAAAUCACUUUCACUUAAGGCUAUAUGACAAUUUCUGCACUUUUAUACCUAUAUAACCCUUGACUUUCUGGUUUUGCUUACAUUUAACGCGAGAUCUAUUUGAAGUGCCCUUCUUUGCAUUCUUUAAUGAAUCCUUCUAAAAUAAACAAUUUAACAUUUGAUGUUAAAACAAAUAUAAUACCCUUGUCAUAGUCAAUACCUGUCUCUUUAACUCUUUUUAAAGACAUCAUUGUUUUCAUAACAUUACUAGAAUUACAGUAUGUGCACAGCUGCUGUUAUACAAUGCUGACUCUCUGAAUGAGUAAAGCUUUAAAUUCUGGUCUUGGCUCCCUCAUCGGGUCACACAAUUUAUAGUGACUUAUUCAACAAACUGUUCAC